rnacentral:rRNA from 1 species
GGAGGAAAGCAGGGGAUCGCAAGACCUUGCGCUUUUGGAGCGGCCGAUGCCUGAUUAGCUUGUUGGUGAGGUAAAGGCUCACCAAGGCUUCGAUCAGUAGCUGGUCUGAGAGGACGACCAGCCACACUGGGACUGAGACACGGCCCAGACUCCUACGGGAGGCAGCAGUGGGGAAUUUUGGACAAUGGGGGCAACCCUGAUCCAGCCAUGCCGCGUGAGUGAAGAAGGCCUUCGGGUUGUAAAGCUCUUUCAGCCGGAACGAAACGGUUACGAUUAAUACCCGUAACUACUGACGGUACCGGAAGAAGAAGCACCGGCUAACUACGUGCCAGCAGCCGCGGUAAUACGUAGGGUGCGAGCGUUAAUCGGAAUUACUGGGCGUAAAGCGUGCGCAGGUGGUUUUGUAAGUCAGAUGUGAAAUCCCCGGGCUUAACCUGGGAACUGCGUUUGAAACUACAAAGCUAGA